GACGAACGCUGGCGGCGUGCUUAACACAUGCAAGUCGAACGGAAAGGCCCUGCUUGCAGGGUACUCGAGUGGCGAACGGGUGAGUAACACGUGGGUGAUCUGCCCUGCACUUCGGGAUAAGCCUGGGAAGCUGGGUCUAAUACCGGAUAGGAGCCAUUUUUAGUGUGAUGGUUGGAAAGUUUUUUUCGGUGUAGGAUGAGCUCGCGGCCUAUCAGCUUGUUGGUGGGGUAAUGGCCUACCAAGGCGGCGACGGGUAGCCGGCCUGAGAGGGUGGACGGCCACAUUGGGACUGAGAUACGGCCCAGACUCCUACGGGAGGCAGCAGUGGGGAAUAUUGCACAAUGGGCGCAAGCCUGAUGCAGCGACGCCGCGUGGGGGAUGACGGCCUUCGGGUUGUAAACUCCUUUCGCUAGGGACGAAGCUUUUUGUGACGGUACCUAGAUAAGAAGCACCGGCUAACUACGUG
rnacentral:rRNA from 1 species